GACGAACGCUGGCGGCGUGCUUAACACAUGCAAGUCGAACGGAAAGGCCCUGCUUUUGUGGGGUGCUCGAGUGGCGAACGGGUGAGUAACACGUGAGUAACCUGCCCUUGACUUUGGGAUAACUUCAGGAAACUGGGGCUAAUACCGGAUAGGAGCUCCUGCUGCAUGGUGGGGGUUGGAAAGUUUCGGCGGUUGGGGAUGGACUCGCGGCUUAUCAGCUUGUCGGUGGGGUAGUGGCUUACCAAGGCUUUGACGGGUAGCCGGCCUGAGAGGGUGACCGGCCACAUUGGGACUGAGAUACGGCCCAGACUCCUACGGGAGGCAGCAGGGGGAAAUAUUGCACAAUGGGCGGAAGCCUGAUGCAGCAACGCCGCGUGCGGGAUGACGGCCUUCGGGUUGUAAACCGCUUUCGCCUGUGACGAAGCGUGAGUGACGGUAAUGGGUAAAGAAGCACCGGCUAACUACGUG
rnacentral:rRNA from 1 species